GAGUCUGUAGCUCAGGUGGUAGAGCAGCUGACUUUUAAUCAGCGGGUCCUGGGUUCGAGUCCCAGCAGACUCAC
rnacentral:tRNA from 1 species